rnacentral:rRNA from 1 species
AUUGAACGCUGGCGGCAGGCCUAACACAUGCAAGUCGAGCGGAGCGGCGGACGGGUGAGUAAUGCCUAGGAAUCUGCCUGGUAGUGGGGGAUAACGUCCGGAAACGGGCGCUAAUACCGCAUACUAUCAGAUGAGCCUAGGUCGGAUUAGCUAGUUGGGGGGGUAAAGGCCUACCAAGGCGACGAUCCGUAACUGGUCUGAGAGGAUGAUCAGUCACACUGGAAUUGAGAAACGUUCCAGCUCCUUCCGGGGGGCGGCAUGGGGAAAUUUUGGACAAUGGGCGAAAGCCUGAUCCAGCCUGGCGGGUUGGGUGAAGAGGGUCUUCGGUUGGUAAAGCCCUUUAAGUUGGGAGGCUUUACCACCAGAAUAAGCACCGGCUAACUUCUUGCCAGCAGCCGCGGUAUAC